CCCGUUCCUCCGCUCCGCCCGAUGCAGGAAAACGCCUGCUGCGGCGAAAACGGACGGAGGGAGAGGGAGAGGGAGAGGGAGAGCGGCACGAGCAGAGCAUGACGGAAGCGUCUUGCAGGUGGCGACAAGGGAGGCGAUCGCGUUCGUUUCGCGCCUCGCUGCCUGUAGUUGUCAACAAUGCGCCUCCCACGUGUCUCCCCCUCGCGCUGCAUGCGGCUGCGCAAGGGCAGAGAGGAGAGAGGACUUGCGUCAGGCGGCGCCACCUCCUCCUCCAUCCCCUCCCCUACCCUUCUUUUUAACCCCUCCUCGGCCCAAUACUCCCCACGCAGCCCUCAAUCGCAUCCCGCAGCAUGGGGACGACCUCCUUCCGCGCCGCCGCCUGCCUUGCCCUCCUCUGCUUCGCUUCAAUGCUGCUGGCGAUUUCGCCAUCCCUCGUCCCUGAUGUCGAUCCGACCAUACUGUUGCCGUCUGAUCGGCCCAUCCCUGAUACCUCGGUGGAGGACGAGACGGGAACCACUUGGGCUCUUCUCGUGGCUGGCUCUUCGGGCUACGGAAACUAUCGGCACCAGGCGGACGUGUGCCACGCGUACCAGCUGCUGCGGAAAGGCGGGCUGAAGGAGGAGAACAUAGUGGUGAUGAUGCACGACGACAUCGCUGACAACCCGCUCAACCCCAGGAAGGGAGUCAUCAUCAAUCACCCCCAGGGCCAAGAUGUUUAUGCUGGCGUCCCCAAGGACUACACCAAGGAGCAAGUCAAUACCAGGAACCUGUAUGCAGUGAUUUUGGGUGAUAAAAGCGCUGUAGAAGGUGGAAGUGGAAAGGUCAUAGAAAGUAAAUCCAAUGAUAGGAUCUUUAUCUACUUCUCCGAUCAUGGAGGACCUGGGGUCCUUGGAAUGCCCAAUUUGCCAUAUCUUUAUGCUGCUGAGUUCAUUGAAGUAUUGAAGAAGAAGCAUGCAUCCAAGAGUUACAAAGAAAUGAUUAUUUAUGUGGAAGCGUGUGAGAGUGGCAGUAUCUUUGAAGGUUUAAUGCCAGAAGACCUUAAUGUAUAUGUGACAACAGCAUCCAAUGCUGUUGAAAGCAGCUGGGGAACCUACUGUCCUGGGAUGGAUCCUCCACCACCACCGGAAUAUAUGACUUGCCUUGGUGACUUGUACAGCGUUGCAUGGAUGGAAGACAGUGAGAAUCACAAUCUAAAGGAGGAAACGGUUGGGAAACAGUAUGAGUCAGUGAAGAUGAGGACAUCAAACCAGAACACAUACAGUGCAGGGUCUCAUGUGAUGGAGUAUGGUGAUAAGAAUGUAAAACCUGAGAAGUUGUACCUUUACCAGGGCUUUGACCCUGCCAAUGCCAAUUUAACUGAGAAUGCACUUCGCCUCAGCAAGCAGAUGGGAGUCAUCAAUCAGAGAGAUGCUGACCUCCUAUUCUUAUGGCACAUGGUGAGUGAAGAACACUUCGUUUUCCCUUAUUAUUUUUAUGCUAUUUCCAUUCGUGGCAAUGAUUUAACUUGGAGACUGAAUGAUUUAAUAAGAACAUUGUAUCUUUGGUACCAUUCUAAGGGCCUAGUACCAAGGGAUGUGUGAGUGACCUUGAUUUCUAGCAUAUUGAUCGAUAAUGUUAUAUUUAACCCGUGAACUUGGAGCAGUGGAGAGAAAAACUAUAUACACGGAUUUCAUAUUUCCCAUCUUUCAAAACUGCAGAUUCUGUUUUGGAGCACCUUUUUUAACCCCUUGCAUUGUUCUUAUAUCUUAACAACCUAGUGUUUGCUUUCAGUAUGAAAGAUUAGAGGAAGGGUCAAACAAAAAGAAGGAAAUUUUCUCGGAGAUCACUGAGAUGAUGAUGCACAGAGCACACCUUGACAGUAGCAUCGAACUCAUCGGCAAUCUAAUUUUUGGAUCGGAUGUUGCACCUUCAGUCCUCAAAACCCUGAGGCCAUCUGGUCAGGCUCUGGUUGAUGAUUGGGUUUGCUUGAAAACAAUGGUCCAAGCAUUCGAGUCGCAUUGUGGAUCGCUCACUCAAUAUGGCAUGAAGUAUAUGCGAGCUUUCGCAAACAUAUGUAACGAGGGUGUCUCGAAGGAUGCGAUGGAAGAAGCUUGUGGUAAUGUUUGUGGAAGCUACAACUCAGCUAAGUGGAGUC